UGACAGUACUCCUACGGGGAGGCAGCAGUGGGGGAAUAGUUGCACAAUGGGCGCAAGCCUGAUGCAGCCAUGCCGCGUGUGUGAAGAAGGCCUUCGGGUUGUAAAGCACUUUCAGUCGUGAGGAAGGUAGUGUAGUUAAUAGCUGCAGUAUUUGACGUUAGCGACAGAAGAAGCACCGGCUAACUCCGUGCCAGCAGCCGCGGUAAUACGGAGGGUGCGAGCGUUAAUCGGAAUUACUGGGCGUAAAGCGCAUGCAGGUGGUUUGUUAAGUCAGAUGUGAAAGCCCGGGGCUCAACCUCGGAAUAGCAUUUGAAACUGGCAGACUAGAGUACUGUAGAGGGGGGUAGGAAGUUUCAGGUAUAGCGGUGAAAUGCGUAGAGAUCUGAAGGAAUACCGGUGGCGAAGGCGGCCCCCUGGACAGAUACUGACACUCAGAUGCGAAAGCGUGGGGAGCAAACAGGAUUAGAUACCCUGGUAG
rnacentral:rRNA from 1 species